UUUUGGCCGUUUGACCAAAUGGGGACAUCUGGCAUACUGCUAUCAACCAAUAUCACUUACUAUGUCAUAGGCACUGAACCACAAGCCUUCUGCAGGAAUGAUCUCAUUUAAUUCUUACAGCAAUCCUAUGAGAUAAGUAGUACUGAUAUUACCAUUUUACUAAUUAGAAACUUGAAGCUUGGCGAGGUUAAAUAAUAUGUCCAAAGUUGCAGAAUGAUUCAGUAGCAGAGGCUCAUUGAGGGGCAAACAAGAUCAAUCCAAUCCCAUUCCUGUGUGAAGAAGACAGACAUUAAACAAUUAACCAAAUAAAUAAUUGAUGAUAGCUGUAAUGAGUGCUAUGACAGGUGCUGAGCCAAGGCAUAACUUCUGUUCUGAGGGUUCAAGGAAAGCAUUGUUCCCUGACAAAAUGACAUUCAGUCAUGGACUCCCACAGUGCUUAGGAGCUGGCAAGGCAAAGGCUUGGGUAGGAUGGUUGGGAUGAAAGUAAGAAUGAGGAGUGAACAGUAUUCUAGCUGGGAGGGUCCAAAGUGGGAAGGGGCAUGGCAGACCAUGGAACUGAGAGAAGGCCAGCAGGCAGGCUGCAAAGAGGGUGAGGGAGGAGGCAGCACCAGAUGAGAUUGGAAAGCCAGGUUGGGGUGUCAUGAUAGAGGCUUUGUAGCCAUGAGAAAAUGUUGGGCCAGGCCAGGUGUGGUGGCUCACACCUGUAAUCUCAGCACUUUGGGAAGCCUAGGCAGGAGGAUUGCUUCAGGCCAGGAGUUUGAGACCAGCUUGGACAACAUUAUGAGACCUCAUUUCUACAAAAGAU
rnacentral:lncRNA from 10 species